rnacentral:rRNA from 1 species
CGAACGCUGGCGGCGUGCCUAACACAUGCAAGUCGAACGGUAACAGGUCCUUCGGGACGCUGACGAGUGGCGCACGGGUGAGUAACGCGUGGAUAUCUGCCCUUUAGUGGGGGACAACUUGGAGAAAUCCAAGCUAAUACCGCAUAAGACCUACGGGUGAAAGCGGGGGACCUUCGGGCCUCGCGCUGAAGGAUGAGUCCGCGUCUGAUUAGCUAGUUGGUGAGGUAAAGGCUCACCAAGGCGAUGAUCAGUAGCUGGUUUGAGAGGAUGAUCAGCCACACUGGAACUGAGACACGGUCCAGACUCCUACGGGAGGCAGCAGUGGGGAAUUUUGCACAAUGGGCGAAAGCCUGAUGCAGCGACGCCGCGUGCGGGAAGAAGGCCUUAGGGUUGUAAACCGCUUUCAGAUGGGAAGAAGGAAUGAGAGUUAAUAACUUUCUGCCUUGACGGUACCAUCAGAAGAAGCACCGGCUAAUUUC